AUUGAACGCUGGCGGCAGGCUUAACACAUGCAAGUCGAGCGGGGGAAGGUAGCUUGCUACCGGACCUAGCGGCGGACGGGUGAGUAAUGCUUAGGAAUCUGCCUAUUAGUGGGGGACAACAUCUCGAAAGGGAUGCUAAUACCGCAUACGUCCUACGGGAGAAAGCAGGGGAUCUUCGGACCUUGCGCUAAUAGCUGAGCCUAAGUCGGAUUAGCUAGUUGGUGGGGUAAAGGCAUACCAAGGCGACGAUCUGUAGCGGGUCUGAGAGGAUGAUCCGCCACACUGGGACUGAGACACGGCCCAGACUCCUACGGGAGGCAGCAGUGGGGAAUAUUGGACAAUGGGGGGAACCCUGAUCCAGCCAUGCCGCGUGUGUGAAGAAGGCCUUAUGGUUGUGAAGCACUUUAAGCGAGGAGGAGGCUACUCUAGUUAAUACCUAGGGAUAGUGGACGUUACUCGCAGAAUAAGCACCAGCUAACUCUGUGCCAGCCGCCGCCGUAA
rnacentral:rRNA from 1 species